AAGGUCUGGGGGUGUCCAGCUUAUGUCAAGCAUUUAAAGACAGAUAAGCUUGUACCUAAAUUCGAUAAAUACUUAUUUGUAGGGUACCUAAAGAAAACUAAAAGGUACUACUUCUCCUUAUUGUAGAGCAAAAGAUGUUUGUCAGCAGUCGGACAGUCUUUUUGAAAAAGAAGUUCCUUAGUGAAGAAGCUAAUGUCUGUAAAAUUAAACUUGAUGAAAUUCAU
rnacentral:lncRNA from 1 species